GAACCUCAGUUUUCACCUGGUAAAUGGGAGCCUUGCAACAAAGUAUACAUUUCCCAGACACUUGGAGCUGUGAGGUGUGGUCAUGUGACCAACUUCUGGUCCACGGAAUGUGAGCUGUGGUUAGGAUCCAGCACAAGUUACAGAACCUCUCUCCACUGAACCUACUGCAAACAGAGAUGCAGGAAAUUUUUGGAAGAGCUCAGGCUGCAGACUGUGGGCAGAACCGGAGGUGUUUACUUCAGGGAAAGCUUUUAGGGUUGAGCAAGUCAAGAAGCAUCACAUGCCAGGCACACACGUCUGCAGAGUUCCUACUGCUACCUCCAAGAUGUGUGAUCUCACCAAGAUAUUUUUGUAAUUGGAAACUGCUGUCAUUCAGACUUUGCAAUGACCUCACGGUAUU